rnacentral:rRNA from 1 species
AUGCGCCGCUCCAGGUUCUCCCGGCACAGCGGGCUGGCGUGGAGGAGCAUGGCCGUGCGGAGCAGCCCCAGCAGGAACUUGGUGGAGGUGACGCCCUUCUUGGUCGGCAGCAGCGCAAUGAUCUCCUCCAGCGCGUCCCUGUCGAGGCUGGCGCCCUUGGCGCCGUGGGUGGACCAGGCGGCGGCGUCGGAGGCGCAGGCCUUGGAGGCGAGCGCGGUGAUGCAGCGGGGGACGAUUUGGAGGUCCUCGGCGGCCGGGAGCACGCCCUCGCAGGUCUCCAGCGCCCUGACGGAGUCCUUCCAGUUGGCGAGCACGUCGGCGAGGAACGACUCGGCCUGCGCGAUCAGGUUGCCCUCCGCGUAG